AGAACACCUAAGACUCCGUCAGAUCCUAGAAUUCCUACACCUCCAACAACACCCAUUACCACACCAGCAACUCAAACUUGACGAACACCUAGGACUCCAACAACUCCUUCGUCUCCCAAAACUCCAAGAACCCCCAGGACUCCAUCAGAUCCUAGAAUUCCCACACCUCCAACAACACCCACCACUCCGACACCUCCAACAACACCAACACCUCCCACUACUACGCCAACAACUCAAACUCGACGGACACCUAGGACUCCAACAACUCCUUCAACUCCGAAAACUCCAAGAACCCCCAGGACUCCGUCAGAUCCUAGAAUUCCCACACCUCCAACAACACCCACGACUCCAACACCUCCAACAACACCAACACCUCCCACUACUCAAACUCGACGAACACCUAGGACUCCCACAACUCCUUCAACUCCCAAAACUCCAAGAACCCCCAGGACUCCAUCAGAUCCUAGAAUUCCCACACCUCCAACAACACCCACGACUCCAACACCUCCAACAACACCAACACCUCCCACCACUACACCAGAAAUUCAAGCAGGGAAGGCAAAAGGAACUGUGAUUAUUCACAGACAGCAACAUUAACUUCCACGAAUCCCAGUUAUAAAAGUUGUGAUUAUCCUGGUGGAAGUACUUAAAGAAGAAGAGGAAAAAGAAGAUGGAUAAAGAAUAACUGUUUAAAAAUCUCUUUACUAUUGUGAUAAGUUAAUAAUUAUAAGGCAAGUACUUGAGUGAAACAAGUAUGGUAAGAAGAGUCCAAUAAGAAAUUGUAUUGUGUUGUAAUAAUUCAGUGAAGGUCACUGCCCCUCUCUUUCUACCUGUGAAUAAGAGAGGGGGAGUUUGAUAAAUAAAAAUGAAAAACUGUGUUUGA